CAUGUCUGAGGAGGAGCCGGGCCUGAGGAGGAGCAGCAUGGCACAAAGAGGGAGAAACCACGGGCAGCGGAGCUCCCACAGGUCACCACCAACAAAUCAUGUUGUAAUCAUGUGUCCUCACACCAAGCAGCACUUGUGAGCCCAGGAGGCUGCAGGUUUUCCAUGCAGGAGAGCAGCAGGCACACGGCUGCACACAGGCAGCAGCAGUUUGAUUUUCUUAUCACUUCUAGACUGAGCUAGCAUCUCUAUCAGACACGUCAGGCCUGAAAGCCAUCUCCCCAGCACUAAUGCACCAGUAUUGAUUCAUCCCAUCCUUUCUGACCAGUGAGGAAUUGAGGACAGAUCAUUUUUUUUCCUACUCUGAAAUUUUGGCUGGAGCCCUAAGCCCACAUCUGCUUUCAGUAAUACAAAUGUACACCAGAGUUCUCCUCGAGCUGAUGGCUCCCUUCCAGAUUUACAUAGACUGUGACCAGAAACUGGUACAUGGAGAACUUCUCCCAGGCUUUCUGAUUUUAAAGUAAUUCAAAACAAACUAAAUUAUAUUAUCCUAAAUUAUUCCAACCUUUUAAUCUGAAGCUAGAGCUUUCCAUUCUCUGAUAUUUCUUCUCUUUCUCUUUGGGAAGUUUAGUGCUGCUGGAGCAGUAUGUGGCACAUUACACUCAGGGGGGCAAAUGCUUCUCUCAUUUGUAAUUCCUUAAGUUUAGAGAGAUGCCAGAGGAAUCAGAAAAAAUAUUUUCCAGUAAGAAUGUGGGGAAAGCAGAUCAGUAUUGACUUGAACCAAUUUCUUGAGGGAUCUGCCACAGUGCUGUGUUUAUACUCUGCUUAGCAAAACAAAUCUUUUCCCAUGAACACAAUGGAAACUGUAUUGGAAAAUAAAAUCCUCUGAGUCUUCCUCAUGAAAGUAAAAGAGGCAUUUCCAAACCUCCAGCCUACACACAGAGUGAAAACAAAGCUGAAAAGACCAAACCAUUCCUGAUACUAUUUUUCUGGAAGUCCUGUGUCAGUCUGCAACACGGCUUCCAAAGCAGAAGAAAUUGGAUAUUUCUCAUUUAAAUAAAGAGAAACUUCCUGCCUUUUGCCCACUAAAAAUCUAAAGGAGAAAGAUAAUGAGGCAAACCCUUCAUCUCUCACAAUGUUAUGGCUCAGACAUUUCUGCUGAACAACACUUCCACUAACCCAGACAGUUCUUUGUGAAAACAUCACAUUCUUCUUAAAGGAAAAAAGCAUGAACCUCAGAUAUAAGCACAGGUAUGUCCAGUGGAGAUUAAAAGAUACUUCUUGGUCCCUAAAAUGAAAAAAAAAAAGAGAAAAAAAUGAAGACAGCACCUUUCCCUUGCCAUGUCAUUCCCCUUGGCUCGAGGUUGAUAACACAUCAGUAAUGCUGCAAGCGAGACAACAGGCUAAAUAAAAGUUACAGCUGUCAAAGUCCUGUCAGCAUCCUGGCUUUUCCAUUCCAAUUUCAUCAUUUCCCCACUGCAAGGAUCAAUUUCAAGAGGUGAAGGAACCAUAGCAAUCCUCCAUUAGCUCUUUGGUGUCACCCCAAAAAGAGAUCAAAUAAUCUCUUAAGGGGCAGGGGUUCUGCCUGCUGCUACCAGAGAGGAUGCGCUGUGCUGAGGUGCUCAGGUGAGGACAAUUUGCCAUCCCCAAAAGCAAGAAUGGGUUGACAAAGUUGGUUUUCUGCCGGGCAGAAUCACCAGAGCCUGAAGGACGUGCAGGGGAAAAAGGAAAUUGCUUUCUGUCGGAGACGAGGGAAAAAUUAUACUUGCGCCAAAAACUCAUUCAAGGAAGAGGCUGAAGCAAUAAAGUUGUUCCAGGAGACCCCAUUUUAUACACUCCAGCUACUGCCCAGAUGAGCACAAAAUAAAAUAAAGCAUAGAUUAUAUAUCCUGAGAUCUACUGACAAAAGCCAGCAGAGUCUAAAAUUAAUUCUCGGCAGCAGGAGUGAGUAAAUGAAAGAGGACGGACACCAUCAUAAUUUUAUCAAGGGAGGCUGAGUAAGGAUUCCUGGGCCGACUCUGCCACAUGGAAUAGAGAAGAUGUUUGAGUCUGACUUCUGUGUGAGCAGUCAGCUCUUGCCACUGGGGAUCUGCCCCUGUGGAGAGACAAGUCAGAAGGCUGCAUUGCUGGAUGGAUCCUUUGAAAACCCAUCCCAAGGGAGCAGCAUUCACAGCUCUAGGCUGCCAGCCUUCUGUGUGACUUCAGCCCCGUGAAUAAUGAUGGAUUCACCUCAUUCUCUCAAAGGAGAAAUAUUCAAGAUGCUGAAUUCCCCAGAGAGCUGCAAACUGCCAGGCCAGGAACAAUGUCAAACUUUGAGAAAUGUGGCAGGCGUGGCGCCAAAGCAGCAAAUCCAACUUCUGCAAGAGAAACUCCAUUCAAACUGGCCAGGAACCAAAAGAACCUUUCCAAAGGCGGAGACGGCGCGGUGACACCCGGCCUCACAGCUGCUGCCUGCUCCUCGCUGUUGGGUAAUAAUUUAUUUGUCACCUCCACGGCUGAUGGUGCAACUGUUGUAUUCCAGAAACAAUAGCUGCUUUAUUUAGAUAAGAAGGAAGAGAACAACAGAAAUUCUGGGUGCCAGCAGCAGGAUCAGACGUGCAGCUGCUGUGAGCUGGCUCUGGAGGAGCCAUGCCCAUCUGUGCUCACAUAAACAUUCUUGGAUGGGGUGUGGGACUGGUUCCCACUUCACACAAAAUGAGCUCCAGGGUCUUGGAUGGGUUAGAUAAACCCUCAACACAUCAGUUCCCAUCUGUAAACAGGCAUUCUGCAGCCUGUGGAAAUAUCACACACCAAAAAGGAGAGAUGCCACCACAGCAAGGGACUUGUUUGGCUCUUCCCCAGCUGCAAACUGGGAGUUGUUCUGCUCUAACAAGCAGCUCCUGGUGCAAAAAGGAUCUCCUUCGUGUCAAAGGUGAAAGAAAAUCCUUCCUAAAGGGAAUUUAACAAUCACUGGCUUUUCUGGAGUUUGAAUGAACUGGAAGUGUUAGAAGACAACUGAGCUGAGGUUUGUUUCCCACCAAACACAUGGAAGAGAUUGAAGUUUUAUGUGUUAAGUGUUGAGAAACCAAUUGAUAUUGUCUUUGUAAUCUGCUCAGGUUGCAGUAAUGAGAGAGGGUCACCAGCAAUCCUGAAAGGAGCUUAAAGAACAAGAUGUAAAAAUCAAACACGCUGUGUUUGUUCUCAUCAGCUCCUGAGAUCUUUGUUUCACCCUUAGGAUGGCACUUCUUUC